rnacentral:rRNA from 1 species
AGAAUCAACGCUGGCGGCGUGCCUAACACAUGCAAGUCGAACGGGAAAGUGGAGCAAUCCAUGAGUAUAGUGGCGACCGGGUGAGUAACACGUGACUACCUACCCUUGAGUGGGGGAUAACCUCGGGAAACCGAGGCUAAUACCGCAUAAUAUCGAGAGAUCAAAGGAGCAAUUCGCUUUUGGAGGGGGUCGCGGCUGAUUAGCUAGUUGGCGGGUAAUGGCCCACCAAGGCGAAGAUCGGUA